rnacentral:lncRNA from 1 species
AAAUAAAUUAAAGGGACAUAUUUAAUGGUGAAAAAUAUAAAAAGCAUCAAAUGAGCAGCCUCACCCUCCUUUUUAGUAUCCAGCAACCACAAAUUAUGAUACACUCUCUCUUGUGUCACUUCUCUCAGUCUCUAAAUGCUUGAUGGACGAAUCUUAUUUAAGGUAUGUUUGGUUCCACGUAAAAUCGUAAAAAAAAAAUUUUCAGUGAAAAAAAUAUUUUACGUCGUUUAUAUUUAAUUUGUAGGAAAAGAAAAGUAAUUUUUCACGACGGUUGUUUGGUUGAAAGAAAAAAAAAUUAUAAAUAAAAAUUAUUAUAUAUAUUUUUUUUAUUUUACAUAUUUUAUAUUGUUAAUAUAUAAUUAUUAUCAUAUUAAAUAUAUUAAUAUUAUAGUUUAUAUUUAAAAAUAAAAAAUAUUUAAAAUAUAAUAUGCAAUAAUUAAAUAUAUAAUAUAAUAUUUAAUAGUAUAUAUUUAAUAUUAUAAAAUAAAUUAAUAGAUAUAAAAUAUUAUAUAAUAAAUAUAUUUAUAAAUAAAAUAUUAUUUUUAAAAUAUAUAUACAUAUAUAAAUAUAUAUUUAUAUAUAUAGUAUAUAUAUUAUAUAUAUAAAAAAAAA